GCUGUAACUCAUCGAUGAUUAUGUCUAUAUACAGGUGUUCAAUAAACUUAUCAGAAGGUACAAAUAUCUGGAGAAGGCCUUUGAGGAGGAAAUCAAAAAGCUUCUUCUCUUCCUGAAGGCCUUCACUGAGUCUGAGCAGACCAAACUAGCCAUGCUAACAGGCAUCCUGUUGGCCAACGGCACACUGCUGCCACCUAUCCUCACCAGCCUCUUCAGCGAUAACCUUGUCAAAGAAGGAAUAUCAGCUUCUUUUGCGGUGAAGAUGUUUAAAGCUUGGAUAGCAGAGAAGGAUGCCAAUGCAGUGACAUCUGCCCUUAGAAAAGCCAACCUGGACAAGAAACUCUUGGUAUGAUUGUUGAUGGUCAUCUGUUGUGUUACAGUCUAGAUCAAUUUUGAUACUGAAUUCAUUAACCUGUGAAAAUUAUGAGGAGAUCAUAAACCAUUUUGCAGAUUAAUUCAGUUUCCAUGGAGAUGUUCAUUACAUGGCAGACGUGUCUUAACAGCCCUAAACUCACUCAUGACCUUGAUGCGCACAGUGCGACAAAAUCAUG